ACACCUAGAAGCUUAGAAGUUUCAUGUCUUUGACUAGAAGCUCUGUGUAUUUAACUAGAGUGGCAGAAAAAUUGAAUGCUCGCUGCUCUCCAAGCUGAUCUUCGACUCUGCUAUGCCUGAGCUUGAACAAAAUGCCUCAUAUUCUAUCACUCAAGCAGCAAAACCUGGCUUGGUCCCUCUUUGGGUGGGCAUCCAGUGAUCAGUUCCUUGCUCCUUCAGUCUCUUACUCACAAGGCCUUUCACAUCUCCCACCAAGGCCUAUUUGAGCUAAAGAGUCACCAAGCCCACUGAGUGUUCUUCUGAAGGGUUCCUUGCCUAGGAUUCUGCUUCCACAGCCAUAACCACAGUCUGGAUUUUCAUCAUCUUGCACUGGAUUUAUAGCAAUUGCUUUCUAACUGGACUCCAUAAGUGAUCCCACACAUAACCCCCCAACUAUUUUUAAGAUAUGUAUAACCUCUCCUUGUACACACACAUGUAUUCUCCAUCAGCCUAAAAAUCUAUAAGGGUUUCCUAUUACCAACCCAUUGCAUUUAAACCUUGUCUGUGAUCCAAGGACUCUAUAUCUAGAAUCAGACCCCUCUCUCACUUGAUAACUUCCUUUUCCUUCCUGUGUGGGUACACCCCCUCUAAAUGGAAAUGCAAAUCUCCUCUGUGCUUCUCAAUUAUAGCUUGCCAAGUCUUACCCUAUAUUGUGGCUCUUACAUAUAACUUUUUUUUGGAAUGUUCCUGUUUCCCUUUAUCAGUUCAAGCUUCUGUUUUCUUUAAAACUUUACUCAAAGCCCCCUUCCUUCAGAAGUUUAUCCCACUCUGAAUAAUACCUUAUUAUAGUGAAAGUAAUAAUUACAUUCUAGCUAUUAAAUAACUAUUGCAUACUAGAUACUCUGCUAAUAAAUGUGCUAUUAUUGUCUUACCCUUGCAAAGACCUAUAGAGGCAAGUAGUAUUUUUCUUAUUUACAGAUGAGGAAACUAAACCUUAGAGAAGUUAAGUCAUAUACACAAGUUCACAUAGUAGGGAAGUGCCAGAGUUGAGAUUUGAAAUCAUUGCUAUCAGGCCCUAAAUUUUAUACUCUUCCUUCCUAGAAUAUCAUGUAACAUGUGUACAGUUUUGUUUAAGAGUUUUCCUUGAAAAUGUUUUCUUUAAACUAUGGAAUAUUUUUCAAGGGCAAAAUAUGGUGCCUACUGAUACUAGUUAGCAAACAACUAAAACUCUCUCUAGCUACCAAGGAGCAAAUCUGUUAGCUGGAUCAAUACAGAAUUAUCUGAAAGCCUGUAGAACUAGGCUCAGAAAACCAGAAAGACCAAAGCAAAGUAAGGCAAAGAGACA
rnacentral:lncRNA from 1 species